CCUACGGGAGGCAGCAGUGAGGAAUAUUGGUCAAUGGCCGAGAGGCUGAACCAGCCAAGUCGCGUGAGGGAAGACGGCCCUACGGGUUGUAAACCUCUUUUGUCGGGGAGCAAAGCGAGUCACGUGUGACUCAUUGAGAGUACCCGAAGAAAAAGCAUCGGCUAACUCCGUGCCAGCAGCCGCGGUAAUACGGAGGAUGCGAGCGUUAUCCGGAAUUACUGGGUGUAAAGGGAGCGCAGGCGGGAAGCCAAGUCAGCUGUGAAAACUACGGGCUUAACUUGUAGACUGCAGUUGAAACUGGUUUUCUUGAGUGAAGUAGAGGUUGGCGGAAUUCCGAGUGUAGCGGUGAAAUGCGUAGAUAUUCGGAGGAACACCGGUGGCGAAGGCGGCCAACUGGGCUUUAACUGACGCUGAGGCUCGAAAGUGUGGGGAGCAAACAGGAUUAGAUACCCGGGUAGUC
rnacentral:rRNA from 1 species